GACUCUCGUUACACUUGUUCUGAAAAUGAAAACAACAAUGAGUUUGGUAAUCAACAAAAUUAUUGAAAUAUAUUGUAAAUACCUCCAAUGCUUUGAAUUUUUCCGACCAUACUGCAUCUGGUGGUGCAUCAACAGUCGUGCUUUCUGAGAUCGGGUCUUUUCCUUUCCAAUUUGGAGCAGCCCAUCUUUCGUUUGUUGUGCUCACCAUACUGGCAGCUUCUCCAAUUCCUAUUAUUCGAUUCUUCUUAUUUUUGCCGAAAGUCUUGUUGACCGUCGCUUCGAUAAAUUGCUGCGUUAUAAAAAAAAAAUAAGAAAAACGAAAUAUAAUUAAAAUAAUCAAUGGAACUUACAAAUGGAGUCAUUGAUUCAGAUUCAGCCCACGAUUUUGCCUCUGGAGUUUUGAUAAAUUCCGUGGCUUCAAG
rnacentral:lncRNA from 1 species